rnacentral:rRNA from 1 species
AGUGAACGCUGGCGGUAGGCCUAACACAUGCAAGUCGAACGGCAGCACAGUAAGAGCUUGCUCUUACGGGUGGCGAGUGGCGGACGGGUGAGGAAUACAUCGGAAUCUACUUUUUCGUGGGGGAUAACGUAGGGAAACUUACGCUAAUACCGCAUACGACCUACGGGUGAAAGCAGGGGAUCUUCGGACCUUGCGCGAUUGAAUGAGCCGAUGUCGGAUUAGCUAGUUGGCGGGGUAAAGGCCCACCAAGGCGACGAUCCGUAGCUGGUCUGAGAGGAUGAUCAGCACACUGGAACUGAGACACGGUCCAGACUCCUACGGGAGGCCGCAGUGGGGAAUAUUGGACAAUGGGCGCAAGCCUGAUCCAGCCAUACCGCGUGGGUGAAGAAGGCCUUCGGGUUGUAAAGCCCUUUUGUUGGGAAAGAAAAGCAGCAGGUUAAUACCCCGCUGUUCUGACGGUACCCAAAGAAUAAGCACCGGCUAACUUCGUG